rnacentral:rRNA from 1 species
GAUGAACGCUGGCGGCGUGCCUAAUACAUGCAAGUCGAGCGAACGGACGAGAAGCUUGCUUCUCUGAUGUUAGCGGCGGACGGGUGAGUAACACGUGGAUAACCUACCUAUAAGACUGGGAUAACUUCGGGAAACCGGAGCUAAUACCGGAUAAUAUUUUGAACCGCAUGGUUCAAAAGUGAAAGACGGUCUUGCUGUCACUUAUAGAUGGAUCCGCGCUGCAUUAGCUAGUUGGUAAGGUAACGGCUUACCAAGGCAACGAUGCAUAGCCGACCUGAUAGGGUGAUCGGCCACACUGGAGCGGAGACACGGUCCAGACUCCUACGGGAGGCAGCAGUAGGGAAUCUUCCGCAAUGGGCGAAAGCCUGACGGAGCAACGCCGCGUGAGUGAUGAAGGUCUUCGGAUCGUAAAACUCUGUUAUUAGGGAAGAACAUAUGUGUAAGUAACUGUGCACAUCUUGACGGUACCUAAUCAGAAAGCCACGGCUAACUACGUG